rnacentral:rRNA from 1 species
UGGGGAAUGUUGGACAAUGGGCGAAAGCCUGAUCCAGCCAUGCCGCGUGAGUGAUGAAGGCCCUAGGGUUGUAAAGCUCUUUUGUGCGGGAAGAUAAUGACGGUACCGCAAGAAUAAGCCCCGGCUAACUUCGUGCCAGCAGCCGCGGUAAUACGAAGGGGGCUAGCGUUGCUCGGAAUCACUGGGCGUAAAGGGUGCGUAGGCGGGUUUCUAAGUCAGAAGUGAAAGCCUGGAGCUCAACUCCAGAACUGCCUUUGAUACUGGAAGUCUUGAGUUCGGGAGAGGUGGGUGGAACUGCGAGUGUAGAGGUGAAAUUCGUAGAUAUUCGCAAGAACACCAGUGGCGAAGGCGGCUCACUGGCCCGAUACUGACGCUGAGGCACGAAAGCGUGGGGAGCAAACA